GACAACGGGAUCAUGGAGGCGGCGGCGGAGGCGGCGGCGGAGGGAAGGUGAGCCCCAGUGUCCUCCUCGCUGCAAGCCGGAGCCAGCGACCGCGCAGCGCUCACCCCCUGGUCUCAGCUCAGGAACCAAGGGACCCAGCAGGCCAGAAAAAACACUGAAAUGAGUCCUGCUGUUUUCUGGAAUUGAUCAGUAGUGAAAGCCCAGCUGAUGGCAGCAGAAGAGACAAAAUAGAUGCAAAGCAGAAAAGAAAAUAAACAUCCUCCCCCCACAACUCUGGAAUUCCACAAGUUCAGCCACCAGGUUCCAGAUGCCAGCAAGAUGCUGACCAGACUUCCCUGGACAGAUGAUCCCAUCAAUGUGUACUGGAGCUCCACUUCCCCAGAGCCCCACCCUACUAGGGAAAGAGAGAGGCAGACUGGGAGUAUGGAUUGACCAGUCAACGCCCAUGUUCAGUGGGGAAGCAACUACAGAAGCCAGACCUUCCACCCUCUGCAACCCACAAGGACCCUGGAUCCAUACUCCCAGAAAGAUAUAGAGAAUAGGAAGGCUAUCAGGGGAGGGGAUGGGAUAUGGAGAUCGGGUUAUGGGAAUUGUGAGGAAUUGUACCCCUCUUAU